CGCCCCGCGCCUCCCCCUCCCUCCAUCUCCUCCGGACGCGCGCCGCCACCUCCGUCCCUCCCCUGUGCCCUCUGCCGCCACCUCCCUCCCUCCCUCUGCCCUCUGCUGCCACGCAUCUCCCUCCUCUGGCACUCUUAUGUUCGUCCUUGUCACUGCCUAGGAGGUGUUCGACGGAAUUCCCGUGACAGUACGUCGUUGCUGUCCACCCCGUCCAGCUGUGGGCCCCGAUUCCGAGCCAGCUCGGUCGCGCGGAAGAGAAAAUGACUGAUCGUGGGUGGAUGUACACCGGUCGUAGACAUGCGCGUGACAUUGACAUCGAAUAGAUCAGAAAAGCAGAUGAGUUUAUGGAUUUUGCAUUCGCUAAUAUGGAUGCACCUGCCCUCCCAUGAUGCCCUUGCUCUAAGUGCAAGAACAACUUCAGACGUGAUCGGG